CAGUCGCCACGGGAAUACAGAGGGUGCGAGCGUUAAUCGGAUUUACUGGGCGUAAAGCGUGCGUAGGCGGCUUCUUAAGUCGGAUGUGAAAUCCCUGAGCUUAACUUAGGAAUUGCAUUCGAUACUGGGAAGCUAGAGUAUGGGAGAGGAUGGUAGAAUUCCAGGUGUAGCGGUGAAAUGCGUAGAGAUCUGGAGGAAUACCGAUGGCGAAGGCAGCCAUCUGGCCUAAUACUGACGCUGAGGUACGAAAGCAUGGGGAGCAAACAGGAUUAGAUACCCGCGUAGUCCCUGUCUUUUAUAC
rnacentral:rRNA from 1 species